rnacentral:rRNA from 1 species
AUUCCAGCUCCAAUAGCGUAUAUUAAAGUUGUUGCAGUUAAAAAGCUCGUAGUUGGAUUUCUGGCCGAGUGUCCCCAGGCCAGCAUGACGUUUGGUCCUGGGCGCUCUGCCAUCCUUCUGUCAACCUUCGCCUCGUUCAUUCGUGGCGCUGGGGCUCAGAUAUUUUACCUUGAGAAAAUUAGAGUGUUUCAGGCAGGCUUUCGCCGGAAUACAUUAGCAUGGAAUAAUGGAAAAGGACUUCAACCUCUUCUGUUGGUCUGAGAGGCUGUAGUAAUGAUUAAUAGGGAUAGUUGGGGGCAUUCGUAUUUAACUGUCAGAGGUGAAAUUCUUGGAUUUAUGAAAGACGAACUUCUGCGAAAGCAUUUGCCAAGGAUGUUUUCAUCA